GAAGCACAUUGAGGUGAAGGUUGCACGGGUGUGAGUUGCAGAAACAGAAAUAUAAUCCAAUACUUCUGACUCCUCCUGCCACGGGCUAAGCACGUGCUCCAUCCCUGUGGCACUCUUUUAGAAGACAAGAUCAGAAGAUGUUUCACGGAAAAAUUCCCCCAAAAAUCAUGAGAACAAACUAAGAAAAAUUCGAGAAUGAGCCUUUCUAAGAGUUACUCUCAGAUAUUCCUACUGGGUUUUAUAUGGUGCACGGCUUCCACUGAGGUACCUAUGGCAAGAUACCCCAGAACCACAUAUUUCCCCAUAACCAUAACGCCCUGGGUAAUUUCAUAGUCCCCCAUAACUGUAACCUCCCCCAUAACCACUCAAUCCCCCAUAACAGUAAUGGCCCCCAUAACCACCUAAUCCCCCGUAACCAUACAAUCCUCUGUAACGGUCUCCAGAGCCGUACAAUCCCCACAAACCGAAUGAGCCGUCAUAACCCGCUCCGACCACAGGUGCUCCUACGGCUCCCACUUCACUCUGCUGAAGGAAAUUGCUAAGAAUUGGUCCUGGGAUGGUUUCGACAAUCGGUGAUGGUCUGUCGAAGAGAGAGAGGAGGAAUGGAUUUAGUCCCUAUGUUCAUGGCUAUGUAUUUCUUCCUAUUUCCUCUUUCUAUGCCUCUUACCCAUUGUUAGGAUAUAGAUAUUCAGGCCUGUCGGUAAAGGCUUGUACUCGAAGAAUUUAGGUGUAUUCUUAUCACUUGGCUAGUUAUAGAGAUAACUAUAUAGAGAUAUAAAAGAAAGAAUCAAAAUCACUGUCUGCCGGUCUAAGGUCCUUCUCUCACUGUGACAGUCUGAGGCCCUGUUCUUAGGCUAAGGCCUUUGGCUAAGCAGCAGAGGCAGCCAUAAGCUGGGAAGCGACCGGUCACCUCCUCACAUUCCAACCUAGUCACAUUGAAAUAAGGUGCUAUUGGGCUGUUAGGAAUACAAUCCUGUCCUGAUAGUGCCUGUCGCCUCCAGAGAAAGGGAAGUGCCUAGAAAAUGUAAAAGGAAACUUAGUUUGAUAGCAUCCUGUCUGGCAAGAACUCACUUAUCGAUAGCUGGGAUGUGAAAUCCUCACUUCUGUACUGUUUUGUCAUUAUAGUUCCCACUUUGCUAUUGUUUGUCUGUAUAAUCUCUGUCUGGUUCUGUGAUUGUUCCUGUCUGCUGUAUAAUUAAUUUUGCUGGGUGUAAACUACUUAAGGUGGUGGGAUAUAAUUGGUUACAUAGUCAUGUUACAAUACGUUAGGACUGGUUAGUUAAAUUUCAGGAAAAUGAUUGGUUAAUGUAUAGCU